rnacentral:rRNA from 1 species
GUGGGGAAUUUUGGACAAUGGGCGCAAGCCUGAUCCAGCAAUGCCGCGUGCAGGAAGAAGGCCUUCGGGUUGUAAACUGCUUUUGUACGGAACGAAACGGUCCUGGUUAAUACCUGGGGCUAAUGACGGUACCGUAAGAAUAAGCACCGGCUAACUACGUGCCAGCAGCCGCGGUAAUACGUAGGGUGCAAGCGUUAAUCGGAAUUACUGGGCGUAAAGCGUGAGCAGGCGGUUUUGUAAGACAGGCGUGAAAUCCCCGGGCUCAACCUGGGAAUUGCGCUUGUGACUGCAAGGCUGGAGUGCGGCAGAGGGGGAUGGAAUUCCGCGUGUAGCAGUGAAAUGCGUAGAUAUGCGGAGGAACACCGAUGGCGAAGGCAAUCCCCUGGGCCUGCACUGACGCUCAUGCACGAAAGCGUGGGGAGCAAACAGGAUUAGAAACCCGUGUAGUCC